AACGAACGCUGGCGGCAGGCCUAACACAUGCAAGUCGAGCGAGGACUUCGGUCCUAGCGGCGGACGGGUGAGUAACGCGUGGGAACGUGCCCUUUGCUUCGGAAUAGCCCUGGGAAACUGGGAUAAUUACCGGAUGGGCCCUUUGGGGGAAAGAUUUAUCGGCGAAGGAUCGGCCCGCGUUGGAUUAGGUAGUUGGUGGGGUAAUGGCCUACCAAGCCGACGAUCCAUAGCUGGUUUGAGAGGAUGAUCAGCCACACUGGGACUGAGACACGGCCCAGACUCCUACGGGAGGCAGCAGUGGGGAAUCUUAGACAAUGGGGGAAACCCUGAUCUAGCCAUGCCGCGUGAGCGAUGAAGGCCUUAGGGUUGUAAAGCUCUUUCAGCUGGGAAGAUAAUGACGGUACCAGCAGAAGAAGCCCCGGCUAACUCCGUG
rnacentral:rRNA from 1 species